GCGGCGGUGGUGAAAUUGGUAGACACACCAGCUUGAGGGGCUGGCGGGGGUUUCCCCAUGAAGGUUCAAGUCCUUUUCGCCGCA
rnacentral:tRNA from 1 species